GAGGGUAUAGUUCAGUGUUAGAGCAUGUGCUCAAUAUGCAUGAGGCCCUGGGUUCUAUCCCCAGCACACACA
rnacentral:tRNA from 1 species